UGUUUAGGAUAUGCGGACAAGUUAUCACGCCAGAGACCUUUCACUUUUUUCCUUGUCUUGCAGUGUGAUCGCCUUCUCGACAAGUGUGCACGUCUUCUAUUCGGGACAAAUGCUCAUCUUCCACAUCGUUACACCAUGGAACUACCGGAGUUAUUUCCCCUAUUAUGCUGUUGAACUGUUAACGUAAUUUGUCUUAGGUUUUAUUGUUAUUUACUAU